AGCGAACGUUAGCGGCGGGCCUAACACAUGCAAGUCGAACGAGAAUGAGGGGGCAACUCCUCUAGUAAAGUGGCGGACGGGUGCGUAACACGUGGGUAAUCUACCUUCCAGCGGGGGACAACCGUCCGAAAGGAUGGCUAAUACCGCGUACGUCGGCGAGGGCUCCGGUCCUUGUCGGGAAAGACGGCCUCUUCUUGAAAGCUGUCCCUGGAAGAUGAGCUCGCGGCCCAUCAGC
rnacentral:rRNA from 1 species